UGGGGAAUAUUGCACAAUGGGGGAAACCCUGAUGCAGCGACGCCGCGUGGAGGAAGAAGGUCUUCGGAUUGUAAACUCCUGUUGUUGAGGAAGAUAAUGACGGUACUCAACAAGGAAGUGACGGCUAACUACGUGCCAGCAGCCGCGGUAAAACGUAGGUCACAAGCGUUGUCCGGAAUUACUGGGUGUAAAGGGAGCGCAGGCGGGAAGACAAGUUGGAAGUGAAAUCCAUGGGCUCAACCCAUGAACUGCUUUCAAAACUGUUUUUCUUGAGUAGUGCAGAGGUAGGCGGAAUUCCCGGUGUAGCGGUGGAAUGCGUAGAUAUCGGGAGGAACACCAGUGGCGAAGGCGGCCUACUGGGCACCAACUGACGCUGAGGCUCGAAAGUGUGGGUAGCAAACAGGAUUAGAUACCCUGGUAGUCCACACUGUAAACGAUGAUUACUAGGUGUUGGAGGAUUGACCCCUUCAGUGCCGCAGUUAACACAAUAAGUAAUCCACCUGGGGAGUACGACCGCAAGGUUGAAACUCAAAGGAAUUGACGGGGGCCCGCACAAGCAGUGGAGUAUGUGGUUUAAUUCGACGCAACGCGAAGAACCUUACCAAGUCUUGACAUCCUGCGACGGACAUAGAAAUAUGUUUUUCCUUCGGGACGCAGAGACAGGUGGUGCAUGGUUGUCGUCAGCUCGUGUCGUGAGAUGUUGGGUUAAGUCCCGCAACGAGCGCAACCCUUAUGGUCAGUUACUACGCAAGAGGACUCUGGCCAGACUGCCGUUGACAAAACGGAGGAAGGUGGGGAUGACGUCAAAUCAUCAUGCCUUUUAUGACUUGGGCUACACACGUACUACAAUGGCGUUAAACAAAGAGAAGCAAGACCGCGAGGUGGAGCAAAACUCAGAAACAACGUCCCAGUUCGGACUGCAGGCUGCAACUCGCCUGCACGAAGUCGGAAUUGCUAGUAAUCGCAGAUCAGCAUGCUGCGGUGAAUACGUUCCC
rnacentral:rRNA from 1 species